rnacentral:rRNA from 1 species
CCCCUACAUGUUCUGGGCCGCACGCGCGCUACACUGAACAGUUCAACAAGUCUUAACCUUGGCCGAUAGGUCUGGGUAAUCUUUGAACGCUGUUCGUGAUUGGGAUAGACCUUUGCAAUUAUGGGUCUUCAACGAGGAAUUCCUAGUAAACGCAAGUCAUCAGCUUGCAUUGAUUACGUCCCUGCCCUUUGUACACACCGCCCGUCGCACCUACCGAUUGAAUGGUCCGGUGAAAUCUCGGGACGGCGGCUUGGUCGCUUGCGUCCGACUGCUGAAACUUGAUUAAACCAUAUCAUUUAGAGGAAGGUGAAGUCGUAACA